ensembl:lncRNA
CACGCACAAAACUAAAGUCCCCAAAAUCAUCUUUAGUGGUAUCUCAGCAAGUAGGGAUCUCUUCCCACCCUCUCCCCCAGCAGGGGACAUGUGACAAUGUCUGAAGACAUUUAGAUUUUUUAAAUGUGUGCGUGCCUGUGUGCAUGAGUGUGUGUACUAUUGGCUUCUAGUGGGUAGAGAACUAGAGAUUCUGCUAAACACCCUACAAUGCCAGGACAGCUCUCACAACAAAAUGAUUGAGCCCACGAUGUCAGCAGUGCCAGAGUUGCAAAACUCUCCUAUCUUCAAGAGCAAAAUGGCAUCCCUGCAACCCUCAGCACUUGACAACUAGCAGGCCUGGUUGUCCUGUUGUCCUCAUACAUUACACCUGAUCCAUUUUGCUUGAUGGUUUUUGCCAAGCCAGCUUGGGAGCUCCAUGGCAAAGGAACUUUCUGUGUCUCCAGUAACCUAUAAGAACAACCCCAGGAAGCAUUUGUUGCUCCGGAAGCAUUUGUUGAACAACUUGCUCAAGUCAUGCAGCCUUCCCCACCCUAUCCCAUUACCAUCAUUCUGCUGUUCUUCCAGGAUCCUUGAAUACAGGCAACAGAAGGCAUCACUAACUUGAGCAGGAAAGAACUUUAAUAGAAGUAUGGAAGAGGACUUGGUCAUCCCUUGGGGAAGGAUCAGAGACUGGAGAACAAGGGGGAACGACAGCAGGAAGCCUCACAGGUGCAGGUUUGUCUUUUUCCAAGGCGUUGGUAUAGAUUUGCCUGCAUGGGUGUCAUAGGGCCUGGACCAGAUGUUGCUUUCAUCUGGGCCAUGCCUCCAGUGGGGCGAGUGUUGUAUCUAGCUGGCUCUCUAUGCUACCUGGCUCUCUAUGCUACCUGGCUCUCUAUGCUACCGAGUGCUGAGCAAGGGAGGAGGGUCAUCUCAGCUGCAAGUUCACUCUGCCCGACCUUGAGAUUCUGGAGCUGGACCUGGAGAUGGUUUUCCUUCACCAGCUGGGGCAGUGUUAAGCUUUGUAGGAUACUGGGGUACACUGUAAAGCAUAGGGAAGGGGUCUCUGGCUCUGCUGUCUUUCUUUAUAUGCUGG